CCAGCAGGUUGCAAUUACAGUGCUUCAUUCUGUGGGAGUACUGCCAUUAUCCUGCUAACAGUAACCAACUGCCGUGGAACCUUCUAUCACAUGGAAAGUUCCAUGUGGUGAUUCUCUGUGGCAGUGACAUAA